CUGAGCAAGGCGCUGGGCAUGCGGAAUCAGAAGCUCUUGGCGUAUGAGAAGGAAUUCCUCGCUGUGAUGAUGGUGAUCGACAAAUGGCGCCCGUACCUCCAGUGUGCACCGUUCGAGAUUGUCACCGACCACAAGAGCCUAUGUUCCUUGGGGGAUCAGCAGCUCGUCACAGACCUGCAGCACAAGGCGAUGUCCAAGAUGGUGGGGCUGCAGUUCACAUUCCGCUACAAGAAGGGCACGGACAACGGCGCAGCCGACGCGCUCUCCCGGGUGAGGCACUUGCUGGCCCUCGACACGCUCUCGGUGUGCCAGCCCCAGUGGCUACACGAGGUGGCCAACUCUUACGAGACGGAUGCGGACGCCCAGGAACUGCUCGCCAGGCUGGCUCUCUCGACACCGACAACCAGGCCCGCACUCUGCAGCAAGGGGUGA
rnacentral:rRNA from 1 species